rnacentral:misc_RNA from 1 species
GUGAAGAACGUAGUGAAAUGCGAUAAGUAAUGUGAAUUGCAGAAUUCCGUGAAUCAUCGAAUCUUUGAACGCACAUUGCGCCCCCUGGCAUUCCGGGGGGCAUGCCUGUCCGAGCGUCAUUUCUGCCCUCAAGCACGGCUUGUGUGUUGGGUGUGGUCCCCCCGGGGACCUGCCCGAAAGGCAGCGGCGACGUCCGUCUGGUCCUCGAGCGUAUGGGGCUCUGUCACUCGCUCGGGAAGGACCUGCGGGGGUUGGUCACCACUAUAUUUUACCACGGUUGACCUCGGAUCAGGUAGGAGUUACCCGCUGAACUUAAGCAUAUCAAUAAGCGGAGGA